rnacentral:rRNA from 1 species
GCAAGUCGAGCGGGAUUAUAUUUUAGCUUGCUAAGAUAUAUGAGAGCGGCGAACGGGUGAGUAACACGUUGGUAUCUGCCCCCAAGUCAGGGAUAGCCAUAGGAAACGAUGAAUAAUACCGGAUAGGCGCUACGGAGUAAAAAUUUAUUGCUUGGGGAGGAGCCUGCGUUCUAUCAGCUAGUUGGUGAGGUAAUAGCUCACCAAGGCUAUGACGGGUAGCUGGUCUGAGAGGAUGACC